CUGAAAACCUGUGAUACUUUUAAUCAAUGUGAUGGUGGUGUCUAGGAUAUUGUCUGUCGGGUAUGAUUCCCUGAGUCAGAUUGUUGCUUGACUAGUCUGUGAGACAGCUCUCCCAAUUUGGCAUUAGCCCCCAAAUGUUAGAAAGGAGAACUUUGCAAGGUCAUCAGGGCUGUUUACCAUGCUUGGGUUAAUGCUAGGUGAUUCAUUCAGUUCCAUUCCUUUUUUUAAUUUUAUGUGGUUGCUUCAACUGAAUGGCUUGCUUGGUCACUUCAUAGGGGACUUCAGAGCCAACCUCAUCAUCAACCACCACCACAACUUUAACCCUGGAAUCACAGAUAGGCCAGACUAGGAUUCCCUUACUGGACCAGAAUAACAACCCAAUCAGGGAACCUCAUAUUCUAUAAAGUCCACCUGACAUAUAAGGUCCACUGGCUGAGCUCGUUCCAAUCACUACACUGCCCUUCAGGUCUGGGAGUGGACUGGGAGGUGGCAGCUCACAUUGCUUCCAAAUUUCACAGAAUCGGAAAAUUCUGAAAUUAGUUCUCUUUACACCAAGGCCUGUGUCAUUAAAGGAAAAGCAAACGUUGCACCAAUGACUUCUGGGAAACUCCACAACAAGCCUUCCUCCAGUUCAAAAAUCACUGGACAACUAAUCUGCUUAGAGAACAAGGAUCAGCAGGCUGUUUCACUGCACAAGGAUAUGCAGGACACCAGAAAAAGCAAAAACAAUUUGAAAGAGCACUUUACCUUCGUAUAAUCAUGCAGAAUGAUCCCAGAACUAUGCACAGGGAUGAUUCAUUACAAAAAUUGUAUUCAAUAUCAAAAGCAGUCUAGACAGAGUAAAUAUGUAGAAAUUGUUUCCAAUUAUUAACGAUGAGAGGGCACAAAUUUAAAGUGAUUGGCACAAGAAGCAAAAGUGACCUGAAAGACCUUUUCGUGCAGGAAGUAUUUGGGGCCUCGAAGGCACUCCCUGGCUGUACAGGCAUUAUCACUUGAUGCAUUGAAAAGGGAAAUUAAAAAGGGGUUACAGCAAAAAGACAGUGAGAUGCUGCAUCAAAUUUGAAGAAUCCAAGAAAGCGCAAUGGACUGAAUGGUUGCCUUCAUCUCUGUAAUAAUUCUGUGUUUGUGUGAAAACAGCCAUAUUUUAAAUAAGGAAAUUGGUAAAGAAUCACUGAGAAAUGUAUUAAAACAAAUUGGCAAAAUUGAUUAAGUAUUUUGACACACCUAUUUCAUGAAAAAUUUUCAAUCUCCUGUCAUAAGCUCACCUGAUUUCUCUCUGUCACUUAACCUCAUCUCCAACUGCAAAGUCUAAAGAUGGAGCCUUUUUUUAUGGCAUUGAUGGAGUUUAUUUUGACAAUUUUUGAAGAUGGAGUGAAAUUUUGACAGAAGGCUGUUGUGAAUAGCUGAGCUCAGCUUUUCCUAAUUGAACACACUGUUAUAAAUGGAUUAAGUGUGAGAAACCAGAUGUGGAAAUCAUUGACAUAGCCUUGUAAGAAUCUUAGCAUGAGCGCCAUUUAUUUGACAAUAUGUAAUGCCAGCAUCUUCAAAGUAUCAAUGUACUUGGAGCCAUGAAACUGGAGCAUAGAUUCAUUCCUAUUGGUAGAAUAGAAUAGAAUACCCUUUAUUGUCAUUGUACUGCCCAAAUUUAACGUUGAGUCUGCUUCAUUCACGAAUUUAAGGAUUUCUUAAAUUUUGGUUUUUCUUUCAUAUGUAUUGAUUUAAUCUGAUUUUUAAUGUUUAUAUUCAUAAUAUAAAAGGCCAACAGAAGCCUGUAAGCAAUGUGCUAUAAUUUUAUCUCUCACAUUCUCUCUCUCAUUUGCCCAUACAAUCUGUUCUUAUGACUCAGGUUUUUAACAUUUGUUCUAAUUUUCAUUCAAAUUAUUUUGAUUGAGAGUUGAACAGAAACUACUAGAUGCUAAAGAACAAUAAUCCAUUAGCACAGCUGACUGCACCUUAGAAAAUCAAAUAUUUUGCACGUGGUUAAACUGUACAAUUGAAUUUCAGUUGGAUGUAUGGUGGCCACAUUAUUCCCAUUACUACUACAUUAUAGUGGU